AUUGAACGCUGGCGGCAGGCUUAACACAUGCAAGUCGAGCGGAGAUGAGGUGCUUGCACCUUAUCUUAGCGGCGGACGGGUGAGUAAUGCUUAGGAAUCUGCCUAUUAGUGGGGGACAACAUUCCGAAAGGAAUGCUAAUACCGCAUACGCCCUACGGGGGAAAGCAGGGGAUCUUCGGACCUUGCGCUAAUAGAUGAGCCUAAGUCGGAUUAGCUAGUUGGUGGGGUAAAGGCCUACCAAGGGGACGAUCUGUAGCGGGUCUGAGAGGAGGGUCCGCCACACUGGGAAUGAGACACGGCCCAGAGUCCUACGGGAGGCAGCAGUGGGGAAUAUUGGACAAUGGGCGGAAGCCUGAUCCAGCCAUGCCGCGUGUGUGAAGAAGGCCUUUUGGUUGUAAAGCACUUUAAGCGAGGAGGAGGCUACCUGGAUUAAUACUCUAGGAUAGUGGACGUUACUCGCAGAAUAAGCACCGGCUAACUCUGUGCCAGCCGCCGCUGUAACAC
rnacentral:rRNA from 1 species